AGAGUUUGAUCCUGGCUCAGGACGAACGCUGGCGGCGUGCCUAAUACAUGCAAGUAGAACGCUGAAGGAGGAGCUUGCUUCUCUGGAUGAGUUGCGAACGGGUGAGUAACGCGUAGGUAACCUGCCUGGUAGCGGGGGAUAACUAUUGGAAACGAUAGCUAAUACCGCAUAAGAGUGGAUGUUGCAUGACAUUUGCUUAAAAGGUGCACUUGCAUCACUACCAGAUGGACCUGCGUUGUAUUAGCUAGUUGGUGGGGUAAGGGCUCACCAAGGCGACGAUACAUAGCCGACCUGAGAGGGUGAUCGGCCACACUGGGACUGAGACACGGCCCAGACUCCUACGGGAGGCAGCAGUAGGGAAUCUUCGGCAAUGGACGGAAGUCUGACCGAGCAACGCCGCGUGAGUGAAGAAGGUUUUCGGAUCGUAAAGCUCUGUUGUAAGAGAAGAACGAGUGUGAGAGUGGAAAGUUCACACUGUGACGGUAUCUUACCAGAAAGGGACGGCUAACUACGUGCCAGCAGCCGCGGUAAUACGUAGGUCCCGAGCGUUGUCCGGAUUUAUUGGGCGUAAAGCGAGCGCAGGCGGUUAGAUAAGUCUGAAGUUAAAGGCUGUGGCUUAACCAUAGUAGGCUUUGGAAACUGUUUAACUUGAGUGCAAGAGGGGAGAGUGGAAUUCCAUGUGUAGCGGUGAAAUGCGUAGAUAUAUGGAGGAACACCGGUGGCGAAAGCGGCUCUCUGGCUUGUAACUGACGCUGAGGCUCGAAAGCGUGGGGAGCAAACAGGAUUAGAUACCCUGGUAGUCCACGCUGUAAACGAUGAGUGCUAGGUGUUAGACCCUUUCCGGGGUUUAGUGCCGUAGCUAACGCANCGAUGAGACAGUCUUGGUUGAGCUGUCGAAGAGACAGAUCUAAUAGUUCAAAACCAGCUUUAUUAUUUGAAAAAGUGAGUGGUUUAAGAACAGUUUUCCUCGAACAUUCAAGGCUGUAACAUCGUGUUUAUUUUUAGCGACAUCAAUGCCCACAUAAAGCAUGGGAGUACCUCCAGAUAUAGUAUUUCAAGUCUACUUGGUUAUCCACGAACUUUUUGCCUUGUUACCUUAGACGAGAUAAAACGUCUAUGCGUUAUCAAACUCAUUACCAAUUGAAACAAAAAACUGUGGUUAGAGCCUUUCGGAAAUCGUCAAGCGAUUGGAGGAAAUGAACUAAUCCACAGUGGCUUAUUCCAAGUAUACCACUUGGGCUUUGGCAGUAGCUAACUGCGCUAAAUAUAAUAUAAGGAGAAAUAGAUGGAUUUAUGGUUUUCUGAAGU
rnacentral:rRNA from 1 species